rnacentral:rRNA from 1 species
CUGCCGGCGACCGGCGCACGGGUGAGUAACACGUAUGCAACCUGCCCUCCGCAGGGGGAUAACCCGGAGAAAUCCGGACUAAUACCGCGUGGUACACCAGUGGGGCAUCCCACGGGUGUUAAAAGGAAGCGAUUCCGGCGGAGGAUGGGCAUGCGGCGCAUUAGCUUGUUGGCGGGGUAACGGCCCACCAAGGCGACGAUGCGUAGGGGUUCUGAGAGGAAGGUCCCCCACACUGGUACUGAGACACGGACCAGACUCCUACGGGAGGCAGCAG